CCUACGGGAGGCAGCAGUGAGGAAUAUUGGUCAAUGGACGAGAGUCUGAACCAGCCAAGUAGCGUGAAGGAUGACUGCCCGAUGGGUUGUAAACUUCUUUUAUAGGGGAAUAAAAUGUGCCACGUGUGGGAUUUUGUAUGUACCAUAUGAAUAAGGAUCGGCUAACUCCGUGCCAGCCGCCGCGGUAAUACGGAGGAUCCGAGCGUUAUCCGGAUUUAUUGGGUUUAAAGGGAGCGUAGGUGGAUUGUUAAGUCAGUUGUGAAAGUUUGCGGCUCAACCGUAAAAUUGCCGUUGAAACGGGCAGUCUUGAGUACAGUAGAGGUGGGCGGAAUUCGUGGUGUCGCGGUGAAAUGCUUAGAUCUCAC
rnacentral:rRNA from 1 species